GUCACCGACGGCCCAAGAGUCGCCCGACGCGAGGCCGAAACCGACCCGGAAUCGAAUCGCUAACUUUUUUUCUCGAUCCCCGCCGCGCCGCCGCUCCCUCUUCGCCCUAGCAACUCCGCUGGCGGCAGGCGAGCGAGCAGAGAUGAACGCCGCUGCUCCCGCCGUCGCGCCUCCCCUCUCAGGCCUCAGCCUCUUACUCCACCUCAAUCUGCCGGCGAGGAAUUUCGGAUUCCAGCGACAAGGGGCGCAUCGGAGAUCCUUUGGCGCGCGGCUGCGACAGAGCUCGUCCCUCCUCUUCCACGGCCACCAAUAGCGCAGCUCCCUUUCCUCCUCGAACGCUCGCUCAGGUUGCUCCGUUCCUCAGCCGAUUCGUCUAAUUGCCAACAUAUCUGCAUAAGCUACAUCCAAAUUAAGCAGUACCAGUCCCAAAAAGAUUACUCUGGCCAGUGAAAGAAGCCAGUAUUCGGUGUGGUCUGUUCGAUGUGCUACAGAUUUAUAUGUAUACAAGAAGAUCGAUCUUGCCUCUUAUGCAGUCUGGUAGAUUUGGAAAGAAAGGAAUUGCAGAUUUUAUUUGGACAAAGAGAUAAAGCCACAAAGGCCUACUUCGUUCCUGGCUAGGAAUAGUUUCUGAAUGUUGGUUCCUGUAAUGAAAUCCUACAUGUGGAAGUUCUCAUCUACAGUAGGGCACAUGAUCGGAAAGGGGUUUUCUAUGGCUGAUCUGGCAGGAUUCGAUUCGGUACAAGACCAUCACCGAUGCAGACAACAAGGGGUUCAUCGUGCCAGGCACCUCGGUGCUGCUUCCGUGCGACGGCGGCAGCGGCUACAGAAACAGCUACGGUGAGCUCCUCUCCUCGCCUCCAGUGGUUGCUCUGAGCUCAACAUGGCCAUCGUGCCAUGGCUAUGUCUGGUUAGGCUGCUACAGGUACGCCUUGCAUAAUGAUGGUGCUACUCUUUGUUUGUUUGUUCGUUUCUCUGCCUUGCUGCCUGCCUGAUAGAAACCUGCUGAGUAUAUGUCUUUGAGCAGCAACUGCUAGAAUAUAUAUAGCUCAUGUUCUUGCUGAUUCCCAUCCCACUCAAAGUCUGAAACACUUCUUCGCACUCAACAACUAGGCAGCACACCUGAAUAUAUAUGCAUACAUGUAUGUAGUUUCCACUACACACAUGGAGCAGUCUUGUUAGUUUCGGGAUGUAGUAUCACCACUUAAUUUGUUCCCUGCCUGCCUCCAUGAAAUUCCGACUGCAUAUAUGUGGUCUAUGUACCAUCCAUGAUAUGCACUUGCAUCCUCAACUCAUGUUGGUACUGUUUUAUUUCCAAGGAUGCCUUCCUACUCCUGCUAGUUUAGUUGUCGUGUGGCCGUGUUUCCAGGAUGAUGAAAUUCCAAAUAUCUGGUUGUGGCGUGCUGCUCUCUUUUGACACUAAUUUUAUAUCACUACAAUUGUUCAUACAACAUGGAGGGCCGGUACGGACGCCAUGAUGUUGCAAGGUUGCUUGUCCUAGUAUGUCUUGCUUGCCCAUUUAAUAUGUAUAUCACUUCAUUCAAUUAAGAAAGGCAUUUCCGACAGUGUCAUGGUAAGAAGUCGUCUCAAGAAGAGUGGCGCCAUAAUAAGCAUAGCGGUCAAUAGAAGGAAGCGGGCGAGCACAGAAGCCAUAGGUUGAGUUGGAGGCGGUGCGUUACCAACAGAGCAAGGCAUGGUAGUCGAGGGAGAUGGCGCAUUAGAAGAAUCCACAACACGUUGACGACCAAUGUGGUAAGAAGAGGAUGAGGGGGAAUCACCAGAGAAGCCUCAAGGGACAAGAGAGGUUUGAGGCAGUCGCAGGUAAUGAACAAGGUGAGGAAGCCACGGGUGAUGAUGGCAUGGGAUCUCAACACUAGUACGGGAAGACACAGUGGGAGGGGUGGAGUGAUAGGUAUAUCUGGAGAAGUGAGGAAAUAAAUAUCAUCAAUGGGAGGAUGGACGUGGAUAGAAAGGAUGAGACUCACCAAAAGCCAUGUCCCGAGAAAUGCGCAUCUGACCGACAAGAUCCUAAGAAGAGACAUUCAAAAGACCGAGCAACCUGUUUGGUGUGUUUAUGGGGGGCAAGAAGAAAAGAUAGCACUCGCUACCAAACAAAUGAAGCGCUGAGUAGUCACUAGAACAACCAAAAAGACGGUUGAGUGAAAUGUCACCCUUCAGAGUAGAGGAAGACUGAAUGUUGAUGAGAUGGGUGGAAGUAGGAAUAUCCAAAAAAUGAGGUGGAAGAGAGGCGACAAUCAUCAAUGCAUGAGCUGCCUCAAGAAAGUGAUGAUGCUUGCGCUCAUCAACACCAGUUUGAGCAUGAGCACCAGGAGAAGAGAAUUGAGCAGUGUGCCCUGCUCAGCAUGGAAUCUUCGCAUCAUAUGAAAAAAAUACUCAUGAAUAUGAGAGAAAUACUCCUGAGCAAAAUUUUCACGGAAGACACUGAUAGGAGUGGAAAACUGGGUAUGAACCAUGGCAAUAAACUUCUUACAGAUAGAUAAGAUCUCACUACAAGAAGAUAUAAAAUAUAUCCAUGUCUGUCGAGAGUAAUCAUCUAUAAAGAUAAUAUAGUAGCGAUGGCCUCCUAUCGAGGCAAAGGAAGCUAGACCCCAAACAUUAGAGUGAACAAGAUCGAAAUGACGUUGAUACAUCGUCUCGCUGUGAGGAUAAAGUAACUGAACCUGUUUACCAAGGUGACAAAUCUGACAGUUUAAAGACACAACACCCGAGACAGAUCCAAGAAAACCACGUCAAACUAAGGAUGAGGGACGAGAGCCAUACAAGUGACCGACGGUGAUGCAACAUAGAGCCGGUAGCCGAGGAAACAGAGGCGAAGAGCCGAAGAGACUAGCAGCGGUGUCAGCAUGGCAGGUGAAGCCAAUCAAGCUCCUGGAGGUCCUGGGAGUCACUGCGCCAAGGGCCAACACAAAGUAGGGCACCCGUGUGACGAUCCUAAUCUAACCACCUGAAAUGAGCAAACGAAGGAACAUGACAAGACAAAGUGCUAAUAGUGCCUCGACUAUCGAAUGGGAGGGAAGUACCAUCAGCAGUAAGAACAUGAACAUGAGAAUCUAUAGGUUUGAAUGGAGGACAAACCGAAAGAAUCAUGAGUCGUAUGAAAAGACGCUCUAGUAUGAAGGAUCCAUAGAAAGAUGUGCUUCCAGCCUAGAAAUGAGUUUAGUGCCUAGAAAUGAGUUCAGUGCUCAACCUCGUGGUAGCAAACAUAUAUGAUACUUUUUGGACAUUUCUCACAAUAGCAUUUUGGCAUGUGGAAUAGGUGGUUGGGCUAGACAGGUCUUAUGGAAUACCACGGAAAAUUGGGACGAGCAACUCAGCUCAAGGUUCCUAUUCGCAAGUUAAAGUGAAGAAAAGACAGAGGAUGGCGAGGGGGUGCUGCUCUUGACAGUGUUUUCAUUGCUUCCACAUACCUCCCUUGCAUUUUCCAUUUCUCGUCGAUCCGACUUGGCGUCCUUCCCCUGUUUGCGGGUUGUGUGUCACGGACUUGAUUCCGCAUUCCACGUUCCCUUAUUGGGCGUCCUUGGCCUUGGCGACAGGUAGCAUCGUGCUCCUGGGUGCUUUGCGUCCUCGCGUAAGACGGAGACGGUGCCGACUGUCGUGCUCUUGCUCCGCCAGUGGUGGUUUUUGAGCUUGUGGCUAUUGGGGCAACCUUCAUGGGAGCACGGGAUGUAGGAACAAGGCAGCACACAAAGCAACUUGCAGCCAGGUAAAGGAUACCCUGCCGGACUGGCAGGCAGUGGAGAGUACACGGGAGGUGUGGUUAAAGGGUGAAAACGCUGUUGGGACGUACUGCCGGUGUCGUCAGUCUUUGGACCUAGAGCUGAGCAAGAGGGGAUGGCGAUAAGGAAGCAGGGAAGAUGGGAAGAGGGAACUGGGAGGAGAAAGGCAUCACCCGCCGUGAUGGUGGACGGUUGUGGGCAUGGUAUGGUUGUUGUGGAGGUGUCACAACUAUUGUGUUGUGUGGGUGUGUUUGGUUGUUACUGGCAGGGCACUCUCCUAUGUGCUGUCGUCAUCCGAGAUCCCUUGUGUGGCUCAUUGGUGGUGAAAGCCCUGCACUUACUAUGGUUGGCGCCGAUGUAACGACGGCUACCUUGCCCGUUGUUUCCUUCUUGAAGGCCUCAUUGUGGUGCUACGUCCCUCGCCGUCGUGAUUUUCUAUUUGGAAAGGUUGAUUUGUAGUCAGGCUUGAUGGAUGUCGGAGCGGCGGCUUUAGACGGUGGUUGUAUGUCGAGGCAGUGACAUUGGUUAGGGGUUAAUGGGUAGGUCAGUGGAUCUACAUUGCAUGGGUGGCGUCUAUAUGCUAUGAGGGUAGCGAGUUCAUCGGCACGGCCGAAGUGAUCUGUGGGUCCGGUCUUGGUGGCGUCUAUAUGCUAUGAGGGUAGCGAGUUCAUCGGCACGGCCGAAGCGAUAUGUGGGUCCGGUCUUGGUGGUGUUUAUAUGCUAUGAGGGUAGCAAGUUCAUAUCAUAAAGAAGGAACAUGACAAGACAAAGUGCUAAGAGUGCCUCGACUAUCUGGGAGGGAAGUACCAUCAGCAGUAAGAACAUGAACAUGAGAAUCUAGAGGUAUGAAUGGAAGACAAACCGGAAGGAUCAAGAGUCAUAUGAAAAUACGGAUCCAUGGAAAUAUACCCAACUGUGUAAAAAGUGGUCUAACACACUGAAGUCUCGUAAUCUCCAGCAUCGUGAGGGGUUCAACUGAAGAGGUCAACGAAGAAGCAUCAGGCGAUGAAGAACCAGAAACAGUAAUUAGGUAUCGAAGUUGUGCAAUCUCUUGCGCGGUGAAGGACACUGUUGAAAUGGUCGACGUGGAUUCACCAGAAGAGUGGUUGCCACCACCACCUGUGUGAGCCGCUAGAGGAGGCGGUGAGGCGGUGUAGUUCGACAAAUACCAGUUGUAGAAGUUGGUGGAGGAGACUGCGUCGCAAGCACAAAAGCACCAAGCGCGAUGAGAAGGUGCAUUUGCUAGACAUAGCCAGUGGAGUGAUGUGCACCAACGCUAUUGACGAAAGCCGGGAGGGGAUGUUGUGUUGAGUGACCAUCACCGUCUGCGGAGGCACGAGAGGUGUCACUAUGGAGCCACCACCACUCUUGCAAAAGCCCCUUUUAUAAUGUGAAAAUAUAAAGGGCACAUGGCUAUAAUAUAUUACUCUUAACAUGUUGAACACCCGAGCAUUGUGUUCCUUCCAUAUGUCUAAAAUGCGAGCAACGCUGUCGACUCGAGUCCAUAGUGCGCCUAGCCAAUCCACCAGUUGGAAAGAGAAACGUCCCCCCCCCCCCCCCCGGGGGGGCAGCGGUGAUGUUGAAGAGGCGGUCACCAAUUUCUAGAUUGCCGUCAAGGAGAGCUGGUGAAUAGAUGUUGAGCUGUCUUAGGGGCACUGAAGUAGAGGGUGCAGGCGAUAUGGAUGUCACCGGAGAAGCCUAAGGUUAUGAGCAAGGUGAAGUAGCCUCAGGUAACGAAUGAGGUGGGGAAGCUGCAGGUGAUGACAGACUAGGGUCUACAAGAUUAGUACGAGAAGACACAAUGGGAUGGGUGGAGGAGGACAAGGUGAUGUGUGUAUCGGGAGAAAUUGGGAAAGAAAUUUAACUCACAAAGUAUGAGAGGGUCAUUAGGCAGCCUUGAUGCUCCCAUGAAAUUAUUCAUUGAAAGCGACCCGCGGCUAUUGUAGCUAGAGAAAAAAUCGAGACGAAUCGAUCCCCACCUGGACAUGAGACCAGCGGCUGACUCCACUCCUCUUUGCCUCGUUGCCCUGGACCAUGGCCUAACCCGGGUUUCCCCAGCGACCUUCCUUCCAUCUUGCCCUCGCCGCUUCCUCUGUUCUCCCUUGCACCGCGCAUCUCUGACGCCUCUCCCAUGCCCUUGCCCUCACUGACGUGAGCUCGAACAGGAUGACGGCCACCAAUGGGUUGUGCGUGAGCUCUGCCGUUCGCGGCCCCGAGCUUUGCCCUUUUCUUCAUGCGGGGCAGCCGGUGUAGCUCCUCCUCCCACGCCUCCACCGACAUUAUUUCUUCCUGAGCUCGACCUUGUUCACGGCUGCAGCAACCACGGACUCCUUCCGCUUCUUCCAGACGGCCAACACGUCUAUGCGCGAUUAGCUUGCAUCUUCAUGGCCUCCAACUACGCAGGUGAGUCCCGAACCGUCUCUCUUUCUCCCUGCUCCCUGCAGUUUCUGGAAUCAGGAGCUCUAAACCGGGUUUCCCCUGCGACCUUCCUUCCAUCUUGCCCUCGCCGCUUCCUCUCUUCUCCCUUGCACCGCCCAUCUCUGGCGCCCCUCCCAUGCCCUUGCCCUCACUGACCGAGCUCGAACAGGAUGACGGCCACCAAUGGGUUGUGCGUGAGCUCUGCCGUUCGCGGCCUCGAGCUUUGCCCUUUUCUUCAUGCGGGGCAGCCGGUGUAGCUCCUCCUCCCACGCCUCCACCGACAUUAUAUCUUCCUGAGCUCGACCUUGUUCACGGCUGCAGCCACCACGGACUCCUUCCGCUUCUUCCAGACAGCCAACACGUCUAUGUGCGAUUAGCUUGCAUCUUCAUGGCCUCCAACUACGCAGGUGAGUCCCAAACCGUCUCUCUUUCUCUCUCUCCCUGCUCCCUGCAGUUCCUGGAAUCAGGAGCGGAAGAAGCGGCGAGCGGUUCCAGAGGUGAGCAGCGGGAGGUCUCGGCGGCGAGUUGGCGGCAGCUCCGGGUGGCUUCGAGUGACUGCUGCGCUGAUUCUGGCUUUGUCGGCCGGCGGCAGGGUUGCGGCGUGUUUCGUGCAGCUUGGGUGUCGAGCAAUAGAAGUUCAUCUGACCUUCGUUCCUGCAACAUGGUUCAAAUCAAUUAAAGACCUGAGAUUCAGUUGUAGAAGCUGCAGACAACCAUCGCUGGCGAGGCACAGAAGAAGUUUCCACGGUCAGGUCUACAUUGAGGCAAGGCCAUGUCAAGGACAACACUACUAGGUAGUAAGAUCAUAUAAGAUACUAAUGGGCUCCCUGUAAUCCCAAAGUGCAUUGGCCAACGGAUAGAUAUUUUACAAGAUCUUCUAGAGGCGCUUAAUUUUCGCCAUCAAAAACGACUGCCAAUAAGGUUCCAUCCAACCUGUAUGGGAAUGAUCAUUUAGCAGGCCAAAAACUUACAUAAUUUCCUGUGUUCGGAUUGUGCAAAAGAAAACAACACAAAGAGACCUUCAAAUUCAUACCAGAGUUCACCAAGUUCUGAUUCUAAGGCCAGUGAUUUAAGUCCCUUUUCUUGACUGUACAGUUUAUUAAUAUUCUGCUUGCGGAUAGCUAUAUGCCUUUAUCUUAUCUUUUUAAAUUUAGUUUCAAGAAUUUCAUUUCCAAAGCUGGUGGUUCAUGCCUUUGUUUUUUCAAUAUUCCUUGGAAAAUGUUUGGUGUUUGACUAAGCAAGUACUCAUGUGUAGUUAAAAUUUCCUGUCAUGAGGUGGUGUUCAUUACUAGGUUCAAAGUAUGCUCAGAUUAUCUUCCAAAUCAUGAUGAUGGCUUUUUUUAUCAGCCUGCCCUUAGGUACACUGGAGAUGAAGUUCAAUCACCAGUUCAAACUUCUAUUGAUUAAGCUCAUUGUUAAGUUUAGACAUAUAAUUAUGUGUCUUCAAUUCUUUUUAUUUUCUAUUUUUAUAUGAAAUAAAUCGGCUGUAGCAUACUUGGUUUCCCAUUUUUUUAAUUAUAGAUUUAGGCUGCAUUCAGUUUGUAGGAUUUUUGCAGGAAUCUAGAAGGAAUACUGUUCACAGAGGUUUAUUUUCCUUUGUGGUCGGAAUGCAGGAAUCACCUACAGUAAUUUAAAGUUAACCGGCCCUUCUGAUGCUGAUUCCAGAGGAAAUGAAACAUCUGCCUGGAGCUCAUUUUUUUGCAGAAGACCGCAUACAGACCUACUCCCUCCGUCCCAUAAUAUAAGAACGUUGAGGGAGUAGUUAAAAUAAGCUGAUGUGUAGAUGCAUGUAGGACUACAUAUUAUUGAGAUAUUAGUUCUUCUUGCUGUGGUGGUUCCCUGCAGUUUGCCAUCACAGCUACUUGCACAAGAGUUUCUACUCCUAUGUGGUUUGCUUGAUUUGUGUAUGGCUGAGCAUCUUUCCUAAUUUAGCUCAUUAUAGUUUCACUGAAGGCUGACAGCCAUCUUCGAGACCAACAGGACAAAAAAGAAUGAAAAUCAUCAUCCAUUAAGGUGUUUUAUUUAAAUUCCACAAUCGGCGUUCACACGCAGAACAGAGAGUUUGUACUUUUUCUUUUUGGUCCAUGUGUUCGUAAUGAAACAAAGGACUGGAAUUGAUAAUUUCCUGGCUUAGCAGUCAUUAUCUUAUUAUUCAGGUUCCGUUUUCCCGAUCUUCCGUUGCUACACAUUUUCUGAAAGUUUUUUCUUGUGAAGUGUGUGUCAAAGUGGUUGUCACUGUAUACUUAUAGGCUAUAUUUUGAGCAACCUGGCAGGCAAAAAUAUUAGUGUACUGCACUGUCUCUCUGUAUAUGUUAUCUGCCAGGAUUUUGUGGCACGAUGCAUACAUGCUAUUUGACAUGUGAUUAUCCUGUCCUUAGAAGCAUGUGGUUUGUCCUGAUUUUCUGUAUGCUCUUUGUUCUCCACAGAUUGUACUUAAACAAACUUGAUUAACUCGAGAAAAUAAGUUAUCCUCGGAAAUCUCCUGAUUGAUAGAGCAGUUCAUGCUAUUGUAGGAUAUCUGGUAUAUACUUCAAUUGCACGUGUGAUUAUAUUUAUCAAUGCUAGAAAUAUUUUUUAUUCAUCAAAGGGAGAUUUCCGGAUGCAUACUAAAUUGUUCGUCAGAGAUUAUACUUAGAUAGGCUUGAUUAAAUUGAGCGAAAUAAGUUACCAUUGCAAAUCUUCUGAUCGACAUGCUCUUCUGUAGUAGUUAGUGCAGUAGCAAGGUAGGAGUUGCUUAUAUGUGCGAAAAUAUUCAAUCCAUAAUAUAUCAUAUCAAUGGACAGAGAUGCAUCAAUUCUUUUUCGUUAUUGAUUUUCAUAUCUGUCAUGUGCAGAGUGCCCAUCUAUUAGUUAUGUAGGUUGUGAGUGCAGUUGAAAAUUAUGCACUACUCUUGGUGGCUACGAGCCUUCAUCUCUACAAAAAAUAUCCAUUGAGGAGCCAUCAUGUCUACAGAAAACAUGCAAUGAGGUUGCUUGCUUCCUGUCAGGUUCCUAGGAGGUCCAUCGGGAGAGUCAGGUUAUCCAUCACAUGUUUGUUCAAAUGUCUUGGGAGAACGAGAUGUCAGAUUAUUUUACUUAUAAAUUGUUUGUUUCCUUGGAAGUUACUCAUUUCUGUUACCGUUGUACAAGAUCAACUGUAUUUCCAUUGCUGUCAUUUUUUUUUGUGGCCUACUUCUGUAGGGGAAUGAGAUGUGGGUCAAACUACUCCGAAAUGUUUUGUACCCUUUAAAGCAUUUUUUUGCUACCUCCUUUAGGUUGUUGCACGUGAUACAGCUGUGCGCUUUUUAGAUGCAUUUUUUGUGCUUCUAGAAUGAUAGAAUUGAUGACGUUUGGGCGCCAUUUGGUGCAACAGUAUAUUUUCUUCCUUGCAAAUACGGUGCGUUGCCUUCUACCUUCUGAAUGUUUCCUCAAGGAUUCUUUUAUUUUAUUUCUGAAUAACCAAUCUCAACGGCAGCCUGCUCAUGUAUUUCUCGCUGUACCAAAAACCGGUCUUUCAGUUCUACAUUUGUUGGUAAAACUACAUUGUCAAUUCUAUUUGUUAAAAACAUACUAGAGGUAGUACUUAGGAAAAUGCCUUUGAGACUGAGCUUUUGUCAGGUUAUAGUACCUGCCGUUCCAAGUAUGUUUUGCAAAAGAGAGCUAAGGGAAUUUGGUUUCAGGUGCAGCAUUUUCUGCUAACAGCCAGCCACAGCCUGCCUGGUUAAUUCUUGCACUAAUAAGCAUCGGUCUUUAGGUUGUUCUCCAUUGGUUCCUAAAAACAACAUGAUCACUUUACUACCUUGCUGCAUUAUAGCUUUGCUUUAAUUGAUCGAUAAUGGCUCUGUUAUAAUUGUUCGGCAAGUUGGAUUUGGAAUUUCUAAUUGUCUGAUGAUCUCUGUUCCUUGUGAAUUGGAGGAUGGGCGAGGCUAAGGUACUGACGGCAUUGGACUAGAACUGGCCUCUGAAUUAGCGCACUCAGCCUCUGGAUUAUACCGUUACUUAUUUCUGUGUGCUCAUUUGCCACUUUUGUUGAAUUUCCCUACUGUGUAAUGUACUGAAUGCUACUAUCUGUUUGUGUAACAAACUGAAUGUCAUCUGUUUGAAGUUUCCUAAAACCUUUGCUAAAAAUACAAUGUAUUUACCUCGAUUCUGCUGUAAGUUUGUUCUGAGAAAAAAAAUGCACCCAGACCAGCUUGGAAUGUUGCUGGCUGGCUGCUUCCUACUUA